rnacentral:lncRNA from 1 species
GAAUCUGGUACCGGGACUUGGGGAGCGAGGGAUGCAACAUGGUGCAUCUGGGAGGCCUGCUAACUGGCUAACUUCUCCGGCGUUCCUCCCGGCCGAGGCGUGGGCACAGAAUAGCGCAGGUGAGGCCCAGAUAUGGUGUCUCGAUACGGCGCGGAAGGUCAGUAUGUACCUCGUUUUGUAUAUUGUCUUGAAACUUUACUCCUUUGUAUGUUUGAAGACAUCAUUUUCCAGUUUUGGAGCCGACUAAUGAACUAGUUCUUAAGUGAAAGGCAUUUAACACGACUGUGCAUCUACAGGUACUAGGUUUCCAAGAUGCCUUUCCAGACUAAAACCCACACAUGUGAGCCGCUGGCCGGACAAACAUCUGGCACCUAACGUGGGGCUGAAAAACAGCAGAGGACAUUUGGAAGAAACACUGCUGGUUUGGAGCUCCAUAGAAGAAGAAAAUAAUUAAAGGAAAUUCAUACCAGAGAAGGAAGCUGCAGCUCCUCUCCUCUGGAUCUUUAUGACCACACCAGGAAGCAUUGUGAUCUGCAGUCACUGCCAACCUGCAGGAUAACACAGCUUGUUCCUCUGGGAACUGCCCUGCAGUGUCUGCAUACAGCCACCCUCGACCUGUCUGCCUGGUCUUUGCAACCUCUAGUGGCUGUUGUUCCACAAUGUGUUGUGAAGAGACCUGAAUGGUUUGCACCAAAACACAAACACAAACCAUUGGGAGAGUGAUUGGUGAAGUGAUGGACAUUUACUCGGGCAAAGGUGAGGCUGAGUAAAUAUAAAAUCUGCCUUCAAGUAUUUUUGCAUCAAUGAACAGAAGUAUAUCUUUAAGCCAGUUUUUGUGUGUAUGUGUGGUUAAAAGGUCAAUGAUGAAAAUGGCACAUAAUGCUUUUAUUUACUAUUGAUUUUUGUCUUCAGUUGUUGUUGUUGUUGUUGUUAUUGUUAUGGAGGUGGAGGUGAGGGUGGGGGUGGUAGUGGUUUUUCUAAGACAGGGUCUCCCUGUGUAGCCCUGGCUGUCCUGGAACUCACUUUUUAGGCCAGGCUAACCUGAACUCAGAUAUUUGCCUGCCUCUGUCUUUUGAGUACCAGAAUUAAAGGCGGCAGGCACCAGCAUUGGCCAGCUUACUUACUUACUGAUCCUAGACACAGAGAGAUUCGUGUAUCCCAGGCAGGCCUCUUCUCACUUGCUAUGUAGCAGUAAAAGACCUUACAUUUAGGUUCCUCCUGCCUGUCCCUCCCAAGUUCUGGGAUUACAGGCAUAUAUCACCUAACCCAGAAUAUGUGGUACAGAGGAUGGAACCCCAGGUGUUGUGCAUGCUAGGCAAGUACUCUACCAACUGAAGUAUGACCCCAAUUCCAACUCCAGAGACUGCUUUUCACACACACAUACACACACACACACACACACACACACACACACACGUCAGGCAGGGAAGGUGGGUCACACAGUUACAUAGUCACACUCAAUUUUCAAGUGAGAGAGCAAAUACACGGUAGCUGAAAUUCUUCAGGAAGAAGAUGAGAGGUCACAGAUAAAGUCACUCCAGGAGAGAUUCAGAUAACGAGGCUGGAUAAGUAACCCCUUCAUUGUGGCUUGCAGGUAGUAAAGGUCUAUAUUAUGACAUUCUUCUGAUAUCGUCCCAGAUUCUGAAUCUGCCCGAUGUUUCCAGUUGAAUGAAUGUUUUCUCUAGAUUUUAUAGAACAGCGUCAAGACCCAUGAACCUUAACUUUGUUCUCAGACAAUUCAAUUAUUUUAGACUUGGCAAAUUGAUUUAACUUUAUGUCUACUACCUACUUAUACCUACUUGUAUCUUAAAUUAUUUGCAUGGACAUACAUAUUAAAUAUUCAACAUUAUAAA